AACCUAUUAUUUAUUUACCAGUUCCAGGCGUGAGACAAAAGACGAACAAAUACAGCUAUCACUCCAUUUCGUAUUUGUAUAGAUUAAUUGGGGCAAUGGACUGAUAACGGGAUUCGUGUUCGUCACCUUAACGUGUUUGAAUUGCGUUUGAUUUAGUACAUACCCAGUGUAAUUGUAACUAGAAAAAGAGAGUCGUAUCGUGAGACUUUGGUAGAAGCAAUCAAAAAAGAUUUUCAUUUUGUAUUUCAACCUUGAAUUGUAAUUUGCUUUUGCGUUUCAAGAUGCUUCACCUUUAGACUAGAAAAAAGACUAAAAAGUUUACAUAGAAUAAACACCAUAUCAGCUUUCGAGACAAUUUUUAAGGUCGGAGUAAGAUUUCAUAAUGAAAAGCACAGAAAGAAACUUUAUGUGCACGCUAAAGACAGAAGUGUACUUCCCGAUCCGAUUCCAUUGGAGGUAUUACCUAAAGGGUAUGGCGGAUAUGUGGGUACCGCGAAGGAAUUAACAGAUUAUUGGCUAGAAAAGUUUGAUGAUUAUGAAGAACGGUUUCAAGAUCUAUUUGAAAUUAUAUAGAAUGAAUGAAACAAAACGACCAGGCAAAGCCAAGACUACAGAGACAAUGUCCGACGUACAAGGAUCAUUUAGAAAACUCGAUGUCACGGAUUUUGCAUUGCUCAUAAAGAUUUAGACAUUAUUAUAAAGAGAUAAAUAUUGAAACACCUA